rnacentral:rRNA from 1 species
CCAGACUCCUACGGGAGGCAGCAGUGGGGGAUAUUGCACAAUGGGGGGAACCCUGAUGCAGCGACGUCGCGUGGGUGAAGGAGUGCUUCGGCAUGUAAAGCCCUAUCGGCAGGGAAGAAGCAGGACGGUACCUGACUAAGAAGCCCCGGCUAACUACGUGCCAGCAGCCGCGGUAAUACGUAGGGGGCGAGCGUUAUCCGGAAUUACUGGGUGUAAAGGGAGCGUAGACGGCGAGGUAAGCCUGAAGUGGAAGCCCGCGGCCCAACCGCGGAACUGCUUUGGGAACUGUUUUGCUGGAGUAUGGGAGGGGUAAGCGGAAUUCCUGGUGUAGCGGUGAAAUGCGUAGAUAUCAGGAGGAACACCGGUGGCGAAGGCGGCUUACUGGACUGUAACUGACGUUGAGGCUCGAAAGCGUGGGGAGCAAACAGGAUUAGAUACCCUAGUA